rnacentral:hammerhead_ribozyme from 1 species
AUCCAGCUGACAAAUCCCAAAUAGGACGAAAUGCGUAUCCUGAAU